UUAAAUGUACUUUUUAUGAAUAAAAUCUUUGCCUCGUUUUUUUUUGAUGAAGACUUAGGCCUACUACGCUCCGGUAUUUUGAUGUUGGCCAUGAUGGUGGCACUUGCAGGGCUAAGAAUUAUUUUAGGUGGUACUUUGCGUCAAAUGUUUGAGAACCCCUGUCCUAGUAGUUUCUAGGCUAGGCUUUGAUUGUGAAUGUGCAUGUUGGUCGUGAUAUGUUUUAGUCUGCAGUGAGAGGUUCCGAGCCCUUUAAGAUUGCCUUCAGGAGGAUUAGGAAAUCGGAGCCAGAGCAGCCCCAGAAAGACACGCUAAUCCUGUUCUUUCUCCCGCUGAUCGAUGGAGGGCCAGCCGAGGCACACACACUGGAUUUCUCUAGCACGUACGUGUGUACGUGCGUGCAUGCAUGCAUGCACGUGCGUACGUGUGUGUGCGCGUCUUACCCAGCUUGGAGUGUCCAAAGCAGAAGACACAUCCAUCUGCUCCAUUCACCACCGAGUGAAUCACCUCGGCAACUGUUCCUGCGCACACUUCCGCCUAGCAACAGGGACUAACCACUGACCUGCGACGCAUCAGAAGGGAAGGCAGCGUCGAAGGCAAACAUCUUUGGAGGGACCUGGCUGCCCAUCGCUCUCUUCUGGGAGGCAGCACUUGGACCCGUCUGAUUCACCGACGGGUCCAUGAUGGUGAUCUGUUUCUUUCUGGGGUCCACUUUGAGGAAAGAACUAGACUCUGCCGCGUCCGACUGAGAUGCCGGACACACACGCACCAUCACUUUUACCUGAGGGCCACGAAGAGAAAACAACAUUCGGUACUAAUAGAAGAUUAUGCUGGGCAUACACUCGGCUACCACUAUAUUAGUGGGAUGUAAACACAGCUCAAUACAAGAAAAUUGAACAUACUUGGUUUCUUUUGAUCAUCACACUGCAAG